UGGGGAAUAUUGGACAAUGGGCGCAAGCCUGAUCCAGCCAUGCCGCGUGAGUGAUGAAGGCCCUAGGGUUGUAAAGCUCUUUCACCGGUGAAGAUAAUGACGGUAACCGGAGAAGAAGCCCCGGCUAACUUCGUGCCAGCAGCCGCGGUAAUACGAAGGGGGCUAGCGUUGUUCGGAUUACUGGGCGUAAAGCGCACGUAGGCGGACUUUUAAGUCAGGGGUGAAAUCCCGGGGCUCAACCCCGGAACUGCCUUUGAUACUGGAAGUCUUGAGUAUGGUAGAGGUGAGUGGAAUUCCGAGUGUAGAGGUGAAAUUCGUAGAUAUUCGGAGGAACACCAGUGGCGAAGGCGGCUCACUGGACCAUUACUGACGCUGAGGUGCGAAAGCGUGGGGAGCAAACAGG
rnacentral:rRNA from 1 species